UUCAUUAUUUUCUAAUUCAAAACCUAUACAACUUGCAUUUUAAUUAUUAUUUUCGAAAUUAAUAAAGUUAAUUACAAAGUGCUUUCACGUCUUUGUGCAAAUACUCACUGAAUAAAUUGCAUUACUAAAUCUGAUACAGUGGUGUGGUGAUUUUUGUAGGAACAGUAAGGAUAUACAGCUGAGUAAAUCCUUAUCGUGGCUUUUGCGACACGCAGCGGCGAAGGAAGGAUUCGACUUGAGUACAGCAGCAGCGAUAUAAAGCGGCUCGUCAGAAAUAAUGAGAAACAGAGAUUCCGAUUGAGAUUGAACCCGGACACUGGGGUGACAGAGAUCAAGGCUAACCAGGGACACAGCAUUGACAAAGUUACUGAUGUGGAGUU